rnacentral:rRNA from 1 species
AUUGCUGGAACGCGCUUCGGCGCACCCAGAAACCCUUUGUGAACUUAUACCUAUUUGUUGCCUCGGCGUAGGCCGGCCUCUUCACUGAGGCCCCCUGGAAACAGGGAGCAGCCCGCCGGCGGCCAACUAAACUCUUGUUUCUAUAGUGAAUCUCUGAGUAAAAACAUAAAUGAAUCAAAACUUUCAACAACGGAUCUCUUGGUUCUGGCAUCGAUGAAGAACGCAGCGAAAUGCGAUAAGUAAUGUGAAUUGCAGAAUUCAGUGAAUCAUCGAAUCUUUGAACGCACAUUGCGCCCUCUGGUAUUCCGGAGGGCAUGCCUGUUCGAGCGUCAUUUCAACCCUCAAGCCUGGCUUGGUGAUGGGGCACUGCCUUCUAACGAGGGCAGGCCCUGAAAUCUAGUGGCGAGCUCGCUAGGACCCCGAGCGUAGUAGUUAUAUCUCGUUCUGGAAGGCCCUGGCGGUGCCCUGCCGUUAAACCCCCAACUUCUGAAAAUUUGACCUCGGAUCAGGUAGGAAUACCCG